GGAGCUUGCUCCCUGAGAUUAGCGGCGGACGGGUGAGUAACACGUGGGCAACCUGCCUAUAAGACUGGGAUAACUUCGGGAAACCGGAGCUAAUACCGGAUACGUUCUUUUCUCGCAUGAGAGAAGAUGGAAAGACGGUUUACGCUGUCACUUAUAGAUGGGCCCGCGGCGCAUUAGCUAGUUGGUGAGGUAAUGGCUCACCAAGGCGACGAUGCGUAGCCGACCUGAGAGGGUGAUCGGCCACACUGGGACUGAGACACGGCCCAGACUCCUACGGGAGGCAGCAGUAGGGAAUCUUCCGCAAUGGACGAAAGUCUGACGGAGCAACGCCGCGUGAACGAAGAAGGCCUUCGGGUCGUAAAGUUCUGUUGUUAGGGAAGAACAAGUACCAGAGUAACUGCUGGUACCUUGACGGUACCUAACCAGAAAGCCACGGCUAACUACGUGCCAGCAGCCGCGGUAAUACGUAGGUGGCAAGCGUUGUCCGGAAUUAUUGGGCGUAAAGCGCGCGCAGGUGGUUCCUUAAGUCUGAUGUGAAAGCCCACG
rnacentral:rRNA from 2 species